GAGAGUCGCGGGCAGGCAGCAGGCAUCCCUGCUUGGGUCUUUUAGGAUGAGCAGGAUGAUAUUGUCUCACAUUUGCUGAGUCUGGAAGGCAGGUCUCUCCAGUGGUUUUUGGAGCAAAUGUUUUGAUGGGCCAGCGUGGACACUGCCCAAACAUACAAGCAACUUGCCCAGUCUCCAGCUGGAAGCAAAUGCUACCCAUGAUGUGCUGUGGCACUAUGGUGGGCACAGGAAACUAAGGAUAACUAACAUUCAGGCCUUCACUUCAAGGAGCCAAUCUUUGCAAGAGUGAAGAGAAAUGGCCUUGAACCGUGUAGUCAUGUAACAAUUCCUGCUCUGGGACUCGGGAGAGGUGAACUUGGGUACAAUAUACCCUCAUGCCUUCUGGGUCCAGAGACCAGAUCUGAAGCAGAAACCCACUGGGUACACACUGGAAGCUGGCUGUGUGUAAAAGCUCCCAGAGAGACUCCAGUGAGGGAUCAUGCAGUUGCUGAAACAUUAUUGUUAUAAAUGAUACAGCAUGGAGCUAAAUAAAUGAGCUUUUGAAACACUGGAGCGAGCAGCAUUCCACACAUGUGUAUAUCCACACUUGCUUAUCCACUCAUCUGUGGGUGGAUAUUUAAGUUGCUUCCUCCUCUGGGCUAUUGUGAACAUGAACACUGUGAACAUCUGUGUGGGGUGAUGGCCUCAGCACCUGUUUUUAAUUCUUCAGGGGAAUGGCACCACCCACUGUUCUGGGUCUUCCUGAAUCAAUCGACAAUCAAAACAACCCC
ensembl:processed_transcript Gm15527 predicted gene 15527